rnacentral:precursor_RNA from 1 species
ACUGUGGUAAUUCUAGAGCUAAUGCAUGCCGAAGGGCGCUGACCCCCUUCGUGGGGAAGAUGCGUGCAUUUAUCAGAUCAAAACCAACCCGGUC